AUUGAACGCUGGCGGCAGGCCUAACACAUGCAAGUCGAGCGAGCGGCGGACGGGUGCGUAAUGUCUGGGAAACUGCCUGAUGGAGGGGGAUAACUACUGGAAACGGUAGCUAAUACCGCAUACCAUCAGAUGUGCCCAGAUGGGAUUAGCUAGUAGGUGGGGUAACGGCUCACCUAGGCGACGAUCCCUAGCUGGUCUGAGAGGAUGACCAGCCACACUGGAACUGAGACACGUGGCAGACCCCUAGGGUAGGCAGCAGGGGGGAAGAUUGCACAAUGGGCGCAAGCCUGAGGCAGCCAGGCCGCGUGUGGGAAGAAGGCCUUCGGGUUGUAAAGCACUUUCAGCGGGGAGGCGUGACCCGCAGAAGAAGCACCGGCUAACUCCGUGCCAGCAGCCGCGGUAAUC
rnacentral:rRNA from 1 species